CAAUGAGGUUCAUUCUUGUGGUACGCAUCACUUUUGAGCUUCCGCAAGAACCAAUGAGGUUCAUUCUUGUGGUACGCAUCACUUUUGAACUUCCGCAAGAACAAAUGAGGUUCAUUCUUGUUUGUUACAGAUGGUUUGAGCUUCAGCAAGAGGUUUGUUCUUGCGCAUCAAGCAAGUUCAAUUGAGCUUCUGUUUAUGUUCACUUAACAAUGUUUAUGUGAAUAAAAUCCUAAAUUAAAUCUGUUCAUCAUAAAGCGAUCGAGUCUCUUCAGGAAAUUUGGACUAAACCGCUCGAUUCAUAUAGAUUCGUUUUGCUGUGUAUGUCCUAAUAAAUGUUUUGAACCGUCAAAGUUGUAGUUGCAUAUCUGUCAAUGGAAUGAAUGAAUUUUUGGGUGAACUAUUGCUUUUAAAAUUAUGUUUAACUGCAAGCAUAUCAUGUUAUACUUAUACUGUAGGCAUGUUAUGCACAUAGAUCUGAUAUGAAUUAUAUUUGCUAAUUAUGCAUAUUUUUUUUUUUUUUUGAUAUUAUAUACAUGCCACAUGUCAACAUUUGUAUACACUUAAUUUUUGUUUCUCACAAUCUUGUUGUUAAAGCUUAACUUCUUGAACUGUUUUUUUAUUUAUUUAUUUAUUUUUAUUUUUUUAGAAUAGUAUAAAUGUAAAAUGAAAUGUAUUUCAUUAUUCUAAAACAUGGAAAAAUUUAAUUGUUAUUAAAUUUUUGGCGCAUACAACUAAAGGCAUAUCAUGACAUGUACAGUGAUCUAACAUUAAACCAAAAUCAUUGCAGGCAGGUCCAGAGGCAUCUAGGAUUUCUAAAUAUAUUAAGGGAUAAAGUUACUCUUCCGGCAUUGGUCACUUUCAUUGGAGAUCAGUCACAUGGCCUGUUAAGUGCUGUUAGCUGGGAGUGAAUAGAUUGUCUUAUGUCGACAGUAUUAUUGUGUAGAAGCAGUCGUCAUGUGUCAUCUGCUGUGUAGUCAUUCCUGAUCCCGGUUUGAGAGCUUGACCUCAGAGGAUUAUCUUUAUCUUCUGCUUUUCCUGACGCCUUGCCGACACCACUACUCCUGAGGUUCUGGGACAGAUUAAAGACGAGCAAAGGAUGAAAAGUCACCUCUUUAAAAAUCCCUGAGUCAUGAUUGUGUGGACUGUUUUUUAACAGCUUCCCCCUAUCCUAGUCCUUCCUCAGACGGAAAUGAUUAUCCUUUUGAGCAACCUAGAACACUGAUUUAAAGUGUGUGGCAGGCGGUGACAAAAAAUGCAGUAUUUAUCAUCUUUUUUUUAUUUUAAAGCCAUCUACUAAACCUUGAUAUGUACAGUAAUAUGUGAUACAUUAAA